GAUCUACUCCCUCCGUCCGGAAAUACUUGUCAUCAAAAUGGAUAAAAGGGGAUGUAUCUAGACGUAUUUUAGUUUUAGAUACAUCUCUUUUUAUCCAUUUUGAUGACAAGUAUUUUUGGACGGAGGGAGUACAAC
rnacentral:pre_miRNA from 1 species